rnacentral:lncRNA from 1 species
UCGGAGUACUCUCGCUUUGACCCAUAUCCUACAUACAUGCCAUAUAUGCCAUAUCCUCACUAUUACCCAUCAUAUCCACCAUAUCCUAUGUAUCCACCCUCCCCUAUUCAUCCAAGUGCAGCACACCCAGAAAUAAAUGAACCAGCACCUCCACCACCACAAACAGAACCAGUAGCCCCUGUUGCCCAAAUGUUUCCAUCUAGUUCAUCUGGAAGUAAGGUAAAGAUGAC